rnacentral:rRNA from 1 species
UACGUAGGUGGCAAGCGUUGUCCGGAUUUACUGGGCGUAAAGGGCGUGCAGGCGGUUUGUUAAGUGCAGGGUGAAAGCUCCCGGCUCAACUGGGAGAGGUCCUUGCAUACUGGCAAACUCGAGGGAGGCAGAGGAAAGUGGAAUUCCCGGUGUAGUGGUGAUAUGCGUAGAUAUCGGGGAGGAACACCUGUGGCGAAGGCGGGU